UACGGAGGGUGCAAGCGUUAUCCGGAUUUAUUGGGUUUAAAGAACUCGUAGGCGGUCUGUCGCGUCGGCUGUGAAAACUCGGGGCUCAACUCCGAGCUUGCAGUCGAUACGGGCAGGCUAGAGUUCGGCAGGGGAGACUGGAAUUCCUGGUGUAGCGGUGAAAUGCGCAGAUAUCAGGAGGAACACCGGUGGCGAAGGCGGGUCUCUGGGCCGAUACUGACGCUGAGGAGCGAAAGCGUGGGGAGCGAACAGG
rnacentral:rRNA from 1 species